ACAACAGUUUCUCUCCCACCUUCCCUCUCCGUUCAGGUAAAUAUUUCGUUGUACAUUGGCUACACAGGAUGCAGCCAUUUUGAGUGUUGCUCAAUGAAGCGAUAGUUAGCGUGUGUGUGGUUUGUAAAAGUAGCAUCUCUUUGACGACAAAUCUGGGUCUGGAAUAUUGCGUAGUUCGUGUUUAAAUCGCGUAGACUAUAGGGUACUUUGAUUUGUGGCAAGUAACGAGUGGUUUAUUUAAUUUCCAAUAAAAUAAUUAGUUUACAGUGUGCUUUGUAAUAAGUAAUACAAGGUGCCGUGUUUGGACUUGGAGAGCUGAACCAGCGUGGGAUCCAAGGAAAUAUGGAGCUUGGUGUGUCAAAUCGAUGUCUACUUUUGGUAAACACAGAAGUAAUGAAUGCUCACUGAUAAUAAAGUCGAGACACCCAGCAUCUCAAGUACUCAUCGAUGGAGUUGAAUAGAAGGAAACAGCCGAAGACUACAUUCUCUACAAAUAUUGACUGUCUCCCGGGGUGCUGUGGCAUGUAUUCUCAUAGACGAUUUCCGGCUUUUCAUCGCACUGAAAAUGAAGGCACGUCUGAUGCGUCGGUAAAUUUCUACCCGAUUACACAGCACAACAGCCCAGAAGACAGCCUCUUCGUACUCGCCCUUUGAGAAAUUGAAGUCUCAUCUAGUAUAUUCUGUCGAUAUUAACGUUUAUUACAUUAAUCUGUCUUAUUUCUACAGCAGUCUCCAUACUACCUUCUAAUUAAAUUCACUGAUUUUCUUCA